AUUGAACGCUAGCGGGAUGCCUUACACAUGCAAGUCGAACGGAGUGGCGAACGGGUGCGUAAUGUAUCGGAACGUGCCUAGUAGCGGGGGAUAACUACGCGCAAGCGUAGCUAAUACCGCAUACUAUUGAUGCGGCCGAUACCGGUUUAGCUCGUUGGUGGGGUAACGGCUAACCCAGGCGACGACCCGUAGCUGGUUUGAGAGGACGACCAGCCACACUGGGACUGAGACACGGCCCAGACUCCGACGGGAGGCAGCAGGGGGGAAUUUUGGACAAUGGGGGAAACCCUGAUGCAGCCAUCCCGCGUGUGCGAUGAAGGCCUUAGGGUUGUAAAGCACUUUUGGCAGGAAGGCGGUACCUGCAGAAUAAGCACCGGCUAACUACGUGCCAGCAGCCGCGGUAAUAC
rnacentral:rRNA from 1 species